UACGUAGGCAGCAAGCGUUGUUCGGAGUUACUGGGCGUAAAGGGUGUGUAGGCGGUUCCUUAAGUUUGCUGUGAAAUCUCCCGGCUUAACCGGGAGGGUGCGGUGAAUACUGAGGGACUAGAGUACGGGAGAGGAAAGUGGAAUUCCUGGUGUAGCGGUGAAAUGCGUAGAUAUCAGGAGGAACACCGGUGGUGUAGACGGCUUUCUGGACUGACUGACGCUGAGACACGAAAGCGUGGGUAGCAAACAGG
rnacentral:rRNA from 1 species